rnacentral:lncRNA from 1 species
CCCCGGCGCUGCUAUGGCCGCACAUGGCCCGGCCGCUCCCCUCCGCCGCGCCCCCAUUGGCCGCCGCCGCCGCCGGGAGCGCCGCCAUUGGCGCCGAGAGGAGCGGGCGCGGGAGGGACCGAACCGGGAGAGGUUCCCUUUCCCUGGCACAGCUCUGUGGCAGCUCCAGCAGCACCCCAAGCUCCACUGCUGCCACGAGUUGGCUGAGGACGCAUCAGGACUCCCCCACAUCUCGGAUUCCAUCACCUAAAGCCGAUGGGAGGAAGAAGUCUUUGUCUUUUGCUGCUCUUCUCGUUGCUUUCCUUCAGCUGCUCUCAGGUUGUUUGCGUUGUCUGAAGUGGAAACGAAGCCACAGUUGUUCCCAUUUCACCCAUCGCCGCUCGGGCCGCCAUCACAACAGUGUGUUGUUUUGUCAGCGUGCACAAAGCAGAAGGGAAAUCAGCUCACAGCUCUGCAAUCACAUCGGCUCUGCAGUGCUGACGGGAGGGAAAAGCGGCGCUGAACUUAAUGGGAACCGUCGGGACAAAAAAGGGCUCCUGGUCUGCAUGGCCACGGCCCCUCCACCGCUCCUGUGCCUUCCACCUCCUGCCCUGGCUCCAGCUGGAACCCGAGGCUGAGCUGUACAACCAUUACCCCACGGCUGUGUCCCAGCAGUGCAGCCUAAGAGCACUGGGAAGCGGCUCAGGACAAAGGUGGGGUCUUCCAGCCAUCACAGGGCCUGGCUGUGGGGUUAGAACAGAACGAGAGCUCAGCACACGAAUUUCACAUUGACAUUUUUAUUAACGCCAACUGCUUUAAUUUUUGUUGUGGUUUUCUGGUUGGUUGGUUGGUUGGUUUUUUAAACAAGAGCACAAAAAUGUUUGGGGGGGAGGAGGGGGGGGGGGGAAGCGGUCUGACAGUCUGAUGACCUUCUGAAGUACAGUGAAGCCACAACAAGGAUGAAUUCCUGUUAAAGAAAGGGAAAAAGAACCAUCCGGAGCUCCAACCUUUUAGUCAGAGGGUGUUGUGUUGGUGAGCAGCCCGCCCUGCUUUGACAGCACACGGCUUAGGCUUCAUCAGCACUCCACUCACCGCUCAUUUAAGGCUUCUGAAUCCAUCGACAUCACAGAAAGGAACGGAAAGCUAUUGCUGCUACGGCCACGAGGAGUGGGACAGGCUGGGCUGCGGGGGCACGGAGCAGAGCGUGCCCUGCCAGCAGUGGGAGAGCUGGGCACGCAGUGCUGCCCGUCGGCAUGCAUGGUGAGGGUGCCGUGGAGUCAGGAGAGAAAGGAUAGACCGCGUGAAUCGUCCUCUCGUUUUAACGUGGCUAUGAGAGAUGUUUCCAUACAAUCCUGGUAUCUCUGAGAAGGACAUCAGCAAAGUGGAACGGAGGAGCGGAGAGCGACAGAACGGUUUUCUUUCCGCUGAGAGGUAACACAAAAAGGGGGGGAAACCUACGAUCCGUGGGGCUGAGGGGGGGGGAAGGGG